rnacentral:lncRNA from 1 species
CCUCACAAUUCUCUUUUUUUUUUUUUAUAGAAAAACCUAAUUCCCUCAUUAGGCUAUCCCCAUCUUAACCUUAAUAUUUUUCCAUAAUGCCUACCUUAUCCUCACUUACUUAACAUAAGCCCAAUAUUGCCCUCAAAAUCUCUACACACUCCAUUUUCUUAUUAUUUUAUUAAAUAAUUAAUUAAAUCAUAAAUAUUUUAACUAUCUAA